AUUAUCAAAGGAAAAUCAUUUCAGGAACUUCAGCAUGUUCUUCAGUAUAUUGAAACAGUGCCAACCCACCUGUGCCAAACUACAUGUUUACAACUGAUAAUUCUUAAUCACCCAGAUGCAGAAAAGUUUAAUCUUUAAACUGAAUUUGUUCUACAGGAGUAAAUGUAGCAUGGAUCAACUUCCAGUGACCAACUUGUGGCUAGAGUCGAUACUUACAAGGGUAUUAGUUGCAAUGCUUCCUGACAUGGCAAAUUAUUCCAUAGCAGAAAAAGAUGCUAUGUGUCGAAAAGCUAAAGUGUUUUUCCACUGUGAUGGAGCCAAAGCUGUAGGUAAAAUUCCAAUUGAUGUUGAAUCGAUGUCAAUUGAUUUAUAAAGGUGUUGGUGCUCUUUACGUGAUAGGCCGACCACGGGUUAGGAUUGAAGCUCUGCAAAGUGGAGGUGGUCAGGAAUGAGGGAUACGUAGUGGAAGUUCCUACUCCACUGACAGAUUGACAGUUAGUUUUGGCGCAGCAUGUGAAGUAGCUCAGCAAGAACUUAAGUAUAAUCACGCCAGAUUAGUAAACUAUCGCAACGCUUGAUCGAUCAGAUUGGUAAUAGUUUAACACAUGUCGUACGAAAUUGAGAUCCUGAACACUCCUACCCAGGUUGUGUAAACCUUUCUUUCGCCUACGUCGAGGGAGAAAGUCUUUUCAUGGCCCUGAAAGACGUGGCACUCUCAAGCGGAAGUGCUUGCACCUCAGCAUUGCUGGAACCUUCAUAUAUAUUUUGCGUACCAUUGGCGCUGAAGAUUUUGCGCAUUCUUCUAUUCGAUUUGGAAUCCGAAGCUGAGGUUGAUUACACGGCAGAAAAGUGUAUUCAUCAAGUAUCACCAAACUUCGAGAAAUGAGGUAUAUGGGACCGGGUUUGGAAUGCCCCGACAAAAAGUUUAUUUCACUUCCGCUAAAAAUGUUAAUUUGUCCUUCUUCCUUAUUUCUUAUUUGUUUAUUUUUGUCGAAAUGAAAAUUUAUAAAUGUACAACGGUUUUCUUUUUUUAAAUUAUGAUCAGUGUUUAAAAAAAGUAGAAGAGAUACAGAGUACAAUAAAAUAAAAAAUAACGACAAGAAAAUGAAGCACAAGAACAAGACUGCCUAAUUACAAAAUUCUUUCAAGAUAGCUCUGUCACUUAGCCGAAGGCCAACGCUUGCAACGCGAGCCCUAGUU